CAGAGACCCGCGAAGCUUCAUCAGCAAUGUCGGCCAACGGAGGAGACUGUGCCUCGCAGGGAAAUCAUUGGCUGAAGUACACUGACUCCACCCUUGAUGAUUGAAGGUGAAACCUAAGGAAACAAAACUGAUGAUGUUGACCAGCAGGGGGCAGAGCUGAUCUGGUUUCUGGUCCUUGUGCUUUGUUUAAAUCAAUCCAGACGAUAAACCCUCAUCCAGGCCUCAUCGACCCCAAAGGAUUCUGGGACAAAAGAGUUUGUGAACCAACAUGACCUCACCUGUCCCCUCUAGAGAGACUGAAGUCAUCUGUUUGUUUCUGAGAGAAUCAUUCGUCUUUUAUAUUUGAACUAUUUUCUAAUGUUUACUGGGUAAAGUGAAGCUUAGACAUAAUCCAUUUAUUACAAGUCAUUAUUAAAAUAUUAUCUUUGAAAUGUUCACAAAACUGUAAAGUUUUAAAAAAGGUUUACUGAGCCUCAUUUAUCAACAGGCAGAUUUGAGGGGGAUUCUGACAUUCACCAGAGCUUUCUUCUCUGAUUUUGGUUUUAGUUUUUUUACACUCUUUCACUCUUGCACCCAUCUGAGUGCUGACAUG